rnacentral:rRNA from 1 species
UUGAAGAGUUUGAUCAUGGCUCAGAUUGAACGCUGGCGGCAGGCCUAACACAUGCAAGUCGAGCGGUAGCACAGAGAGCUUGCUCUCGGGUGACGAGCGGCGGACGGGUGAGUAAUGUCUGGGAAACUGCCUGAUGGAGGGGGAUAACUACUGGAAACGGUAGCUAAUACCGCAUAAUGUCGCAAGACCAAAGUGGGGGACCUUCGGGCCUCAUGCCAUCAGAUGUGCCCAGAUGGGAUUAGCUAGUAGGUGGGGUAACGGCUCACCUAGGCGACGAUCCCUAGCUGGUCUGAGAGGAUGACCAGCCACACUGGAACUGAGACACGGUCCAGACUCCUACGGGAGGCAGCAGUGGGGAAUAUUGCACAAUGGGCGCAAGCCUGAUGCAGCCAUGCCGCGUGUGUGAAGAAGGCCUUCGGGUUGUAAAGCACUUUCAGCGGGGAGGAAGGCGAUAAGGUUAAUAACCUUGUCGAUUGACGUUACCCGCAGAAGAAGCACCGGCUAACUCCGUGCCAGCAGCCGCGGUAAUACGGAGGGUGCAAGCGUUAAUCGGAAUUACUGGGCGUAAAGCGCACGCAGGCGGUCUGUCAAGUCGGAUGUGAAAUCCCCGGGCUCAACCUGGGAACUGCAUUCGAAACUGGCAGGCUAGAGUCUUGUAGAGGGGGGUAGAAUUCCAGGUGUAGCGGUGAAAUGCGUAGAGAUCUGGAGGAAUACCGGUGGCGAAGGCGGCCCCCUGGACAAAGACUGACGCUCAGGUGCGAAAGCGUGGGGAGCAAACAGGAUUAGAUACCCUGGUAGUCCACGCCGUAAACGAUGUCGAUUUGGAGGUUGUGCCCUUGAGGCGUGGCUUCCGGAGCUAACGCGUUAAAUCGACCGCCCGGGAGUACGGCCGCAAGGUUAAAACUCAAAUGAAUUGACGGGGCCCGCACAAGCGGUGGAGCAUGUGGUUUAAUUCGAUGCAACGCGAAGAACCUUACCUGGUCUUGACAUCCACAGAACUUUCCAGAGAUGGAUUGGUGCCUUCGGGAACUGUGAGACAGGUGCUGCAUGGCUGUCGUCAGCUCGUGUUGUGAAAUGUUGGGUUAAGUCCCGCAACGAGCGCAACCCUUAUCCUUUGUUGCCAGCGGUUAGGCCGGGAACUCAAAGGAGACUGCCAGUGAUAAACUGGAGGAAGGUGGGGAUGACGUCAAGUCAUCAUGGCCCUUACGACCAGGGCUACACACGUGCUACAAUGGCAUAUACAAAGAGAAGCGACCUCGCGAGAGCAAGCGGACCUCAUAAAGUAUGUCGUAGUCCGGAUUGGAGUCUGCAACUCGACUCCAUGAAGUCGGAAUCGCUAGUAAUCGUAGAUCAGAAUGCUACGGUGAAUACGUUCCCGGGCCUUGUACACACCGCCCGUCACACCAUGGGAGUGGGUUGCAAAAGAAGUAGGUAGCUUAACCUUCGGGAGGGCGCUUACCACUUUGUGAUUCAUGACUGGGGUGAAGUCGUAACAAGGUAACCGUAGGGGAACCUGCGGUUGGAUCACCUCCUU